GGCGGCGUGGAUCAGACAUGCAAGUCGAACGGGGUUAACUUGGUAGCAAUACUAGGUUAACCUAGUGGCGAACGGGUGCGUAACACGUGACCAACCUGCCUAGAAGUGGGGGAUAGCUCGCCGAAAGGCGAAUUAAUACCGCAUGUGAUCGUAAGAUUAAAGCAGCAAUGCGCUUUUAGAGGGGGUCGCGGCCUAUCAGCUAGUUGGUGAGGUAAAGGCUCACCAAGGCAGCGACGGGCAGCUGGUCUGAGAGGACGACCAGCCACACUGGAACUGAGACACGGUCCAGACACCUACGGGUGGCAGCAGUCGAGAAUUUUUCUCAAUGGGGGAAACCCUGAAGGAGCGACGCCGCGUGGAGGAUGAAGGCUUUCGGGUUGUAAACUCCUGUCAUCUGGGAACAAAACUCGCAAGAGCUUGAUAGUACCAGAAGAGGAAGAGACGGCUAACUCUGUGCCAGCAGCCGCGGUAAUACAGAGGUCUCAAGCGUUGUUCGGAUUCAUUGGGCGUAAAGGGCGCGUANGCGGUGGGGUAAGUCUGGUGUGAAAUCUCGGAGCUCAACUCCGAAAUUGCACUGGAUACUGCUCUGCUANAGGGCUGGAGAGGAGAUCGGAAUUCACGGUGUAGCAGUGAAAUGC
rnacentral:rRNA from 1 species